rnacentral:rRNA from 1 species
AAGCAAUUCCUUGGUAACGAAGCUAACGCGUGAAGUUGACCGCCUGGGGAGUACGGCCGCAAGGUUAAAACUCAAAGGAAUUGACGGGGACCCGCACAAGCGGUGGAUUAUGUGGAUUAAUUCGAUGCAACGCGAAAAACCUUACCUACCCUUGACAUGCCAGGAACCCUCCAGAGAUGGGGGGGUGCCCGAAAGGGAACCUGGACACAGGUGCUGCAUGGCUGUCGUCAGCUCGUGUCGUGAGAUGUUGGGUUAAGUCCCGCAACGAGCGCAACCCUUGCCAUUAGUUGCCACAUUCAGUUGGGCACUCUAAUGGGACUGCCGGUGACAAACCGGAGGAAGGUGGGGAUGACNUCAAGUCCUCAUGGCCCUUAUGGGUAGGGCUUCACACGUAAUACAAUGGCCAGUACAGAGGGCAGCCAACCCGCGAGGGGGAGCUAAUCCCAGAAAGCCGGUCGUAGUCCGGAUUGCAGUCUGCAACUCGACUGCAUGAAGCCGGAAUCGCUAGUAAUCACCGAUCAGCAUGUCGCGGUGAAUACUCCCGGGUCUUGUACACACCGCCCGUCACACCAUGGGA